rnacentral:rRNA from 1 species
GGGUUGUGAGGUUAAGCGACUAAGCGUACACGGUGGAUGCCCUGGCAGUCAGAGGCGAUGAAGGGCGUGCUAAUCUGCGAUAAGCGCCGGUAAGGUGAUAUGAACCGUUAUAACCGGCGAUACCCGAAUGGGGAAACCCAGUGUGAUUCGUCACACUAUCAUUAACUGAAUCCAUAGGUUAAUGAGGCGAACCGGGGGAACUGAAACAUCUAAGUACCCCGAGGAAAAGAAAUCAACCGAGAUUCCCCCAGUAGCGGCGAGCGAACGGGGAGGAGCCCAGAGCCUGAAUCAGCAUGUGUGUUAGUGGAAGCGUCUGGAAAGGCGCGCGAUACAGGGUGACAGCCCCGUACACAAAAGCGUAUGUGCUGUGAGCUCGAUGAGUAGGGCGGGACACGUGGUAUCCUGUCUGAAUAUGGGGGGACCAUCCUCCAAGGCUAAAUACUCCUGACUGACCGAUAGUGAACCAGUACCGUGAGGGAAAGGCGAAAAGAACCCCGGCGAGGGGAGUGAAAAAGAACCUGAAACCGUGUACGUACAAGCAGUGGGAGCACCCUUUGGGGUGUGACUGCGUACCUUUUGUAUAAUGGGUCAGCGACUUAUAUUCUGUAGCAAGGUUAACCGAAUAGGGGAGCCGGAGGGAAACCGAGUCUUAAUUGGGCGUUAAGUUGCAGGGUAUAGACCCGAAACCCGGUGAUCUAGCCAUGGGCAGGUUGAAGGUUGGGUAACACUAACUGGAGGACCGAACCGACUAAUGUUGAAAAAUUAGCGGAUGACCUGUGGCUGGGGGUGAAAGGCCAAUCAAACCGGGAGAUAGCUGGUUCUCCCCGAAAGCUAUUU